GAUGAAGAACGUAGCGAAAUGCGAUAAGUAAUGGGAAUUGCAGAAUUCAGUGAAUCAUCGAAUCUUUGAACGCACAUUGCGCCCCCUGGUAUUCCGGGGGGCAUGCCUGUUCGAGCGUCAUUUCACCACUCAAGCCUCGCUUGGUAUUGGGCAACGCGGUCCGCCGCGUGCCUCAAAUCGACCGGCUGGGUCUUCUGUCCCCUAAGCGUUGUGGAAACUAUUCGCUAAAGGGUGCUCGGGAGGCUACGCCGUAAAACAAACCCAUUUCUAAGGUUGACCUCGGAUCAGGUAGGGAUACCCGCUGAACUUAAGCAUAUCAAUAAGCGGAGGA
rnacentral:misc_RNA from 1 species